rnacentral:rRNA from 1 species
UACGUAGGUGGCAAGCGUUGUCCGGAUUUAUUGGGCGUAAAGCGCGCGCAGGUGGUGCGGUAAGUCUGCCGUGAAAUCUCCCGGCUCAACUGGGAGGGGGCGGUGGAGACUGCCGGACUGGAGGGACCUAGAGGCCGGUGGAAUUCCCGGUGGAGUGGUGAAAUGCGUAGAGAGUCGGGAGGAACACCAGUGGCGAAGGCGGCCGGCUGGGGG